UGCCCAAGGUCACACAGAGCCCUGACUCUGCCCUGGUCAGACCUCUCUGGAGGCCUCUCCCUAGCAUGGGGCUGGUUGCAUGGGGUCUGACGCCAGAGGGCACAGCUGUGCUGAGCCAGCCCUGUUGGGUGCCCCCCAGAUGGUGGUGAGGCCUCAGCCCCCUGGCCCCCUGCCCAUCUGGCCCUGGAGAGAGCGAGAGCCAGGAGCUCUGAAUGCACCAGGGCCCCAAGGGAGCAGAGGAAGCACCUACCCCACACAGUGCUCAGCA